UACGGGGGGGGCAAGCGUUGUUCGGAAUUACUGGGCGUAAAGGGUGCGUAGGCGGCGCGGUAAGUCGGGUGUGAAAUCUUGGAGCUUAACUCCGAAACUGCAUUCGAUACUGCCGUGCUUGAGGACUGGAGAGGAGACUGGAAUUUACGGUGUAGCGGUGAAAUGCGUAGAUAUCGUAAGGAAGACCAGUGGCGAAGGCGGGUCUCUGGACAGUUCCUGACGCUGAGGCACGAAGGUCAGGGGAGCAAACGGG
rnacentral:rRNA from 1 species